CAAAUCAGGUAGGACUACCCGCUGAACUUAAGCAUAUCAAUA
rnacentral:rRNA from 4 species